CCUUUCAAAGCUCAAAACAUCACAAGUCUCUUUUGGUUCCCCCAGCUGUUAGCCACACUCCUUCCCGUAGUGUGCUUGGUGGGUUUUCCUGGAGGUCUCUGAGAAGCCUUUGUUUCAGUUCUGUAUAAUCACCGGGGAGAACAGCCAGGUGUUAAAGCCCCAAUUCUUUAUUGCCUCCUUGCCUGGGCCCGGGUUAGCUUUCUUGAGGCCCUUCAGAAGGGCCUAGGUCUCAGUGGAGGAGCAGGACAGGCCAGCCACCACAAAGCUGAUGAAGAUGGCAAUGAAUCUCUCUGAGUUCGGGGGCUUUUGCUUCAGCCUCCAGUCACCACAAAGGUGGACGAUGGAAUGAAUCCCACCCUGGCUGAGUUUGUCCCAGUUCAUACACUCUAUUACGGUUAAAUCCAUUCAUUAUAUUGAGUGUAAGCCAAUCAUAUCACUAGGGAACCAUUAUUUGUGAUAAGAUUAAAUCAAUCAUACUGAAUGAGAGAACUAUUAAUCACCAUGCUAAACUAGAUAACCAUUGUCUCAUCAGUUCCACUGGGUUAGUUCCUUGUAACGAUCCUUGUUUCAAAUACAGAGUUCUGGCCCAAAACAUCUCCCAAACAGCGAUUUUGUGUUUUAUGGGGGCCCUUUGCCUCUCCAAUCACCCUGAUCUAUAUCCGGCCAUCGGACCCAGAUGGCUCUGGAGGGGAAAGUAAGGUUGGCCCUUCUUAUUCAGAUCCAAUUCACCUGCACGCCACGGCCUCCCCUCUCUGAUGUCACCGUGCUCAAGAAUAAAGGACAAACAACAGCGCUUGGUACAGCGUCCAUCACACGGUAGGCGCUGUCUGUCUAUGAGCACAGCUAUGUACACCUACGUAAGAUAUAUGCGUGCAUGUAGAUUGUUACUAAACGCUUGCUGUAUUGCUAGGUUUGAUGUUUGUAGGGAAAUGCAACCCCUGCCGGUCUCAGGUGGGAAUUCGGCUGCGCUGUGUGGGGGACUGGGGUGGAAGGGAGUGGGGCUGUCGGCGGGGGCUCCGGGGAGAGUCGGCGGGGGCAAGGUCCGGGAGAGCGCUCGGCGGCACCCUCUUCCAGCCGGCCACACAGGCCAAGGGAACGUCACCCGGAGGGACUGGGUAGGGCGCGCGCGCGCAGCCCUGGGUUGGCGCUUGUGGGAGGGCGGAGGGCGGAGGCCACGCCAGCCCAGCUCGCCGGGAAUUAGAGCCCCUCCCUGGGGGAGCCGCCCCAGACGCCCAAAGACCCAUCUCGAAGUUCGCCCCCUGCCGGCAUGCCGGGCCAGGUCUGGCCGCCAGGGACUGACCCGCCCCUCUCUCCCGGGAGGCAGGGCGGAGGAAUCCCAGGCGCGCGCGCGCGCGCACAAGUCCCCGGGGCGUUCAUCCUCACACCCCUCCUCCGGCCUAGGCCACCCCCGACUCACCCGCCACUCCAGAGAUGCCCGAGACUUCCCCCGCGAGACAGAAACCUCUGACCGGAAGCGAAGGUCUCGCUGCCUUAGCCAGGCCGGCAGGGCCCGCGCGGCCCCUCUAGGCGGCGGGGAGGAUUCGACAUCUCAGUGGCCGGCCUCUGCCCCACCUACAGUUUCAAUAUCCAAUGUGAGGCUUUCCCAAGCUUUUUGUUUUCAUCUUCCCGUUAUGUAUGUACCAGGGUUUCCGUCUUCUCUGCUUGGCUGUUUAAGAAGUUAAGGUGCCACUACUAAACCCAGGUUCCUUCAAAAACAAAGAACUCAGUUUCCCAGUUAUCUCUGCACCCCCUGGUCCUGAGGCAAGAAUAUCAAAUUUUUAUCAUCAGGACAAGUGAAUAAUGGAGGCCUGAAGGAAUCUUGACUGAGUAGGAAUGCCAGGUACAGCUGUGCUGUAGAAAAUCAGCCCUGGGAAAAAAGGAACCAGCACAGUUGGGUAAGUGCAGAAGCAGUGGGGCAGGGAUACUGUUGGCUGCCAAACUUGCAGAAGGGUAGAGCUUUUGAUCUGUGGUUCCAGGUCAGAGAGGAGAGAUGAAGUGAAGCUGGAGGGACUAUCUGCCUCUACCCCACAAUUAGAGGUGCUUACACGAAUAAUUCUCAUUUGAAAUAAAUGACAGGCAAAGAAGAAAAAAUCUAACUAUAGAAACUUGCUAUGGGAACAGAGAAGAUGGGUUCAUCUUCAGAGGAGGUCAGUGAAGUUAAAAAAAAAAAAUAAAAAGACGUCUCUUCUACACCAAAGAGUAUCAUUAAAUGGUUGCCUGUCCAGAAAGAAUUUAUGGGACUCAAAAAGAUACCUUAAAAAUCAAACAUGAGAAGCUGAGGAAAAAUUUGUUUAAAAUUAGGGCUAUCAAAGAAAAAUAAGAAGAAUAAGGAAAGGAGAUACAGAGUCUUAAAAAAGAAAAUGACUCUGAAAAUUAGAACUGGGUAAGGAAAAGCCAGUGAAGCUAUAAAAAACCAAGAAAUGAAGCAAAAUAGAAAAAAUGAAGAAAAUAGAAGAGAAUGUGAAACAUAAGAAUAUCAACAGAUUUGGAGAAGAAAUCAAGAAGAAAAAAAAAAGAAUAAUUGGAUUAUCUGAAAGCUGUUACCAAAAAAAGGACUUGGACAUAAUAAUGCAAGAAAUAAUCCAAGGAAAUUGUCCUGAAGUAAUAGAACCUAAGGGAAAAGUAGAAAUAGAAAAAAUCCACCAAUCACCACCUCAGAGAGAUCCUACAAGAAAAACACAAAGGAAUAUUAUUGCUAAAUUUAAAAUCCCCAGAUCAAAAAGAAAAUUUUACAACAACAACAACAUCAAAAAUGAAUUCAAACAUGCUGGAACUACAAUUAGAAUUGUACAGGAUUUAUCAGCAACUAUAAUAAAAGACUUGGUAUAAUAUAUAUUGACAAUUUAAAAAACUAGACCUGCAGGAGAAAUUUCAUAUCCAGCAAAACUAAUCAUAAUAUUGAAUGAAAAAAAGAACACUUAAUGAACUUACAGAUUUUCUGCACUUUGUCUCAACCAAACCUUAACUCAUUUGAAAAUGUAACAUAUAAGAGCCAAUCUGUGGGCUUAUAUCCCAAAGAAAUACUAAAAAAGGGAAAGGGACCUGUAUGUGCCAAAAUGUUUGUAGCAGCCCUAUUUGUAGUGGCUAGAAACUGGGAAAUGAAUGGAUGCCCAUCAAUUGGAGAAUGGCUGGGUAAACUGUGGUAUAUGAAUGUUAUGGAAUAUUAUUGUUCUGUAAGAAAUGACCAGCAGGAUGAAUACAGAGAGGACUGGCGAGACUUACAUGAACUGAUGCUAAGUGAAAUGAGCAGAACCAGGAGAUCAUUAUACACUUCGACAACGAUAUUGUAUGAGGACAUAUUUUGAUGGAAGUGGAUUUCUUUGACAAAGAGACCUGAGUUUCAAUUGAUAAAUGACGGACAAAAGCAGCUACACCCAAAGAAAGAACACUGGGAAACGAAUGUGAUCUAUCUACAUUUUUGUUUUUCUUCCCGGGUUAAUUAUACCUUCUGAAUCCAAUUCUCCCUGUGCAACAAGAGAACUGUUCGGUUCUGCAAACAUAUAUUGUAUCUAGGAUAUACUGCAACAUAUCCAACAUAUAUAGGACUGCUUGCCAUCUAGGGGAGGGGGUGGAGGGAGGGAGGGGAAAAAUCGGAACAGAAAUGAGUGCAAGGGAUAAUGUUGUAAAAAAAU